rnacentral:rRNA from 1 species
UACGGGGGAGCAAGCGUUGUUCGGAUUUACUGGGCGUAAAGGGCGCGUAGGCGGCCACCGCAAGUCAAUUGUGAAAUCUCCGGGCUUAACUCGGAAAGGUCAACUGAUACUGCGGGGCUAGAGUGCGGAAGGGGCAACUGGAAUUCUCGGUGUAGCGGUGAAAUGCGUAGAUAUCAAGAGGAACACCUGCGGCGAAGGCGGGUUGCUGGGCCGACACGUGACGCUGAGGCGCGAAAGCCAGGGGAGCGAACGGG